rnacentral:rRNA from 1 species
CCUACGGGAGGCAGCAGUGAGGAAUAUUGGUCAAUGGACGAGAGUCUGAACCAGCCAAGUAGCGUGAAGGAUGACUGCCCUAUGGGUUGUAAACUUCUUUUAUAUGGGAAUAAAAUGUUCCACGUGUGGGAUUUUGUAUGUACCAUAUGAAUAAGGAUCGGCUAACUCCGUGCCAGCAGCCGGGGUUAUACGGAGGAGCCGAGCGUUAUCCGGAUUUAUUGGGUUUAAAGGGAGAGUAGGUGGAUUGUUAAGUCAGUUGUGAAAGUUUGCGGAUCAACCGUAAAAUUGCAGUUGAAACUGGCAGUCUUGAGUACAGUAGAGGUGGGCGGAAUUCGUGGUGUAGCGGUGAAAUGCUUAGAUAUCACGAAGAACUCCGAUUGCGAAGGCAGUUCACUGGACUGCAACUGACACUGAGGCUCGAAAGUGUGGGUAUCAAACAGGAUUAGAUACCCCGGUAGUC